CAUUCUUUCAAAAUUGCAGGUUACAAUGAAGCUUAUUAUUCUAGAAAAUUACAAUGAGGCCAGUGAAUGGGCUGCAAAGUACAUUAGGAACAGAAUAAUCCAAUUUAAUCCAGGACCAAAUAAAUAUUUCACUCUUGGACUUCCCACUGGAAGUACCCCAUUAGGAUGUUACAAAAAACUGAUUGAAUACUGUAAGAAUGGAGAUCUCUCUUUCAAAUAUGUGAAAACCUUCAAUAUGGAUGAAUAUGUAGGUCUUCCAAGGGAACAUCCAGAGAGUUACCAUUCCUUCAUGUGGAAUAACUUCUUCAAGCAUAUUGACAUCUCUCCUGAAAACACUCAUAUUCUGGAUGGGAAUGCAGCCGACUUGCAGGCAGAGUGCGGUGCCUUUGAAGACAAAAUAAAAGCAGCUGGAGGAAUAGAACUCUUUGUUGGGGGUAUUGGUCCAGAUGGUCAUAUUGCCUUCAAUGAACCAGGGUCAAGUUUGGUAUCUAGAACUAGAGUGAAGACAUUAGCUAUGGACACAAUAUUGGCUAAUGCUAGAUUCUUUGAAGGUGACCUUUCCAAAGUGCCCACAAUGGCUCUCACAGUUGGAGUGGGUACAGUCAUGGAUGCCAAAGAGGUUAUGAUUCUGAUCACAGGAGCCCAUAAAGCAUUUGCAUUAUACAAAGCAAUUGAAGAAGGGGUGAACCACAUGUGGACUGUUUCUGCGUUUCAGCAACAUCCCCGAACCAUAUUUAUAUGCGACGAUGAUGCUACUCUGGAGCUUAAAGUAAAAACUGUGAAGUAUUUUCAAGGGUUGAUGCUUGUUCACAACAAACUCGUAGAACCACUCUACAGCAUGAAAGAAGUUACAGCAGAAAGUCAAUCUGAAAAAGCCUACAGUGACUAGCUUCUCUGAGCAACCGGCUAGAUCUUUCUGGCACCAUUGCAAGAAGUUGGUGGAGAGCAGUCUUUCAAUAUACAAUAUACAUUAUUGGACUCAAUUAUUGAAAAGCAUCUUUUUUUUCUACCAGGUGCAAGAGUAGGAGUGGAUGCAACUGCAUCAAGCAAUGUCAAGUAACUCAGGACUAAUUACACAUCAGUUUCCUACGGUUUUAAGAACAUAGACCAAAUGAACUUCCAAACCGAGUUUUCUGGCAGUGGCCGCUCUGGGUGUACGCUCUAUGGUUGUGGGCCAACACAACCAAAAUUUACUGUGGAGAUGAUCCCAGCCUACAGUCAGGAUUGGACUGAGCUGAUAGUUUAAAAAAUGGCCGUCCACAGCAAUUCAAAGCUAGACCACAAUUCUUGCUCCUAAAAAGCAUCGUCGUCCCCUUUCCCUGUGCUUUUUUGUAUUUUAUGUAGUUUGUAUUCACUUUGCAUUUAUAAUUCUUUAUAACAUCAUUUAAAAAAAUCUUCUACUGAAUAAAGCCUUCUAUAUAUUCCCUAUUCAAUUAAAGACACAAAGAAAUAAAUAAAGAGAAAAAUCAAGAUCUAUCUAAGAAGACAGCCUUUAAGAAUUGUAUUUCUAACAGUUUGCCAAUCCAUGGUAACCAUUAGCUGCAAUUUUAGAUGUAAAAUAUUGGAGAUAUGGAUAGUGACCCAAUUAUGAAAUCAGAAUGAUUAGAAUGAAAAUGUUUGAUCUGAUUUGGAGAGUGAAUUAAAUAUAUUAAGCUCCAUAAGAAUCUGAAGCUAUACAAGAGACUUAAAUCAUCUUCUAAAACAAUUAAAAAUUAGACAUUUUUUUUGAAACUGAGAUCUUAAAAUGCUCCAUAGAAUUAAGAUAGUUAUUUUCCCCCUUUCUUAAACAAACAAAUAAAAACAGCAGGAAAAUUUGGGCCACAAAAUUUCAUCAGUAUAAUCUUGAAAUGCUUUUAGGAUUACAAGACAAACUGGAGGACCACCUGCACCAUCCAUUCUAUGAGAUUAUUGAAGAGUUUCCCACAUCCAAAAUUAUGUUAAUUUAUUGACUAGAUUUAUAUCCCACUUUUCAUUCAGAAGUUCAAGAUGGCAUAAACAGUGCUCCCCAAAAGAACCCUGUGAGAUACAGUCGGUUCAUGUAAGAAUGUCCCUCUGUGAGUUUCACAACUUGAUAAGUAAAUGACUCAAGAGUUAUUUGGUCAGUACGUUUUCAUGGCUGAGGAGAACCUGAGUUUCCUCAGUGCUAGUCCAUCAUUUUAAGAGCUUACUCCCUAACACUACGCUAAUUCUCUUACAUAUUCAGAGAGCACUGAAUGCAAGG